UGUGUUAGGGUCUUUAGAGACCUCAUA
rnacentral:piRNA from 1 species